UCGAAGGUUUGACCUUUCGAUUUUCGUUCUCAAGAGUUUGAUCUUAGGAAAAUCAAAUUGUCAAAUUGUGUGUGUUUUUCUGGGGUGUGAGAAAGUAAAAGUGAGUUUAGAACUGGAGGUGUAUACUCUAAUCAUUUAACCUUAAUUGGAAUUAUAUUGAAAAACAAAGUGAGCUAUAGGUGGCUUGGAAAAUUUGGUAAAAGAGACUUAAAGGGUACUAUACUGUCAUAUGAAUAUUUCUUGAAAUGUAGUCAUAUGCUUCUUCUUUAUUAUCUUGCUUCCAGAUAUGCCUGCAAUUUGCUUCGACAAGGAAACAAAUAAUUAUGAACUCAGAAACCCCUGAAGCUCAAGCGUUGGAGAAGCUUGAGAAAAGAGUGAACAAGGUUGAGCAGUAUUACUUGAGGAAAGGCAGUCUGCAACCAACCACUUCGAAGGAGAAAGACGAAGAUAAACAUUUUAAUACAAUUAAGAAGCAGCAACAAGAUGCAUCAUGUAGGGACGCUACUGCUGCAAAGAGGAUGCGAGAUCUGUUGAAUGAUAGUGACAUUUUUGCCCCUACAUUCUUGCUGGCUUUUACCCGACUACCCUGACGAGGACUGGAUGUGGCUCUUUUUCAUUGCUCCACGAAGAGAGAGAGCAAUCUUGAGAGAGUUCAUGAAUGAUCCAGAUACCCAGCGUUUGUUUCUUUGCUUCGCACAAAGAGAGAGAGUGGGAGAUAGAGGUGAUAUUCAAGAAAGAGACUGAUCGGAGAAGCACACAGAGAAAGAAAGGAGUGUGAGAGGGAUCUGGGUUUUGACUACAGCCCCAAAUUUCUAAUCGAGGUGCUCUAAGAACGAAACGGUGAUAUUCGCUCUUUAUGGAGACAGUUGCACAAAGAAUGGGUACAUAUGUGGAUUUACAAUCUCGAUACAGAUGUCAGCAACUGAUCUUACACUGAGGAGUUGUGUUUAUUUGAGAAGAGAAAAUUUCCAAAGAUUAUUAUUGGUUUUGAAGCUGUUGGAUUUUAAAGCAAAAUGACUGCAGUAUCUAAACAAAUUC